rnacentral:rRNA from 1 species
CCUACGGGUGGCUGCAGUGGGGAAUAUUGGGCAAUGGGCGCAAGCCUUACCCAGCAAUACCGCGUGAGUGAAGAAGGUCCUCGGAUUGUAAAGCUCCUUGAUCAGGGACGAACAGAUGACGGUACCUGAAGAACAAGCUCUGGCUAACUAAGUGCCAGCAGCUGAGGUAAAACGUAGGGGGCGGGCGUUGUCCGGAAUGCCUGGGCGUAAAGGGUGCGUAGGCGGCAUAAUAAGUUAGAAGGGAAAUACCCAGAGCUUAACUCGGGUGCUGCUUCUGAGACUGUUGAGCUUGAGUGCGGGAGAGGCUGAUGGAAUGCGUAGUGUAGCGGUGGAAUGCGUAGAUAUUAGGAAGAACACCGGAGGCGAAGGCGAUUAACUGGACCGUAACUGACGCUGAGGCACGAAAGUGUGGGUAGCAAACAGGAUUAGACACCCCAGUAGUC